rnacentral:lncRNA from 1 species
UCUCAAAUCGAGUAUUCGGGCUGCAUACUGCUCUGUCGAAACUUCAGAAAAUCAUAACUUCCUCAUACGAAGUCAGAUUUGGGCGUUCUAUAUAUAUUCGGAAACCUCGUUUUGGCCACUACAACUUUAUGCAAAGAUAUCGAGUUUAUUUUACACUUAAAUUUUGACGCUUAUUUUAUUCUUAAUUAAUCACAUCACAUAAUUAAGCAAUUAAGCACAAAACACAUAAUACUCAAAUAAUAAUACGUUCUUAUUAUUUCAAAUUGGGGUUACAAAGGUUAACCUAGACUAUUACAUUGCUAAAAAUGGCAAGCCCAGAAACACGGGCGUUACAAUUCUCUCCACCUUAGAAUGAUUCCGUCCCUGGAAUCACACAUCAACAAGCAACUACGGGUAGCGACUCGUCAUGUCACUCUCCGUCUCCCAGGUGAGAUUUGGCCCAUUCGUGUGUUUCCAUCGGACAAGCACUAACUUAACCAUCUUACGUCGCAAUUUCUUAGUCUUUCGGUCAACAAUUGCCUCCGGUACCUCAAUCAACCUUUUGUUCUCAUCGAUCCUCAACUCCGAAAGUGGAAUUAUGUCGGGAACUUCUCCUGUGAACUUCCUCAAAUAACACACAUGGAAAGUGUUAUGAAUUCCAUUCAGUUCUUCUGGUAGUUCGAGCUUGUAAGCUUGGUUCCCAAUCCUCUAAAGAACUUUAAACGGUCCAAUAAACCUUGGACUUAACUUUCCCCUUUUACCAAAUCUUAUAAGUCCCUUCCACGGCGAGACUUUAAGCAAAACCGAAUCUCCAACUUCAAAAGUCAUCGGUCUUCGCUUUUUGUCAGCAUAGCUCUUUUGACGAUCCUGAGCCGCUAACAUUCUUUCCCUAAUUAUUUUCAACUUUUCAGCAGUUUGAUGGACUAUCUCCGGUCCCAUAAACUGCUUUUCCCCAGCCUCAAGCCAACAAGACGGCGUACGACACUUCUGUCCAUACAAAGCUUGAUAAGGUGCCAUCUUUAUGCUCGAGUGAAAACUAUUAUUAUAGGAAAAUUCUACCAACGGUAAAUGUUCAUCCCAAUUACCUAGGAAUUCCAAGGUACAUGCUCUCAGCAUAUCUUCAAGUGUUUGUAUCGUUCGUUCACUCUGACCAUCAGUCUGCGGAUGGUAAGCUGUACUUAAACACAACUUGGUACCCAAUUCCUCUUGUAGACUUUUCCAAAAUCGUGAGGUGAAACGACUGUCACGAUCCGACACAAUCGUUAACGGAACACCGUGAAGCCUCACAAUUUCCUUCACGUAAGAAUUCGCAAGCUUUUCCAUAGACCAUUUCUCGUUGGCUGCUAUGAAAUGCGCACUCUUAGUGAAUCGAUCAACGACCACCCAAAUCAUGUCGUGACCACUCUUUGUUCUGGGCAGUUUAGUGACAAAAUCCAUAGCAAUGUCUUCCCACUUACCCAUAGGCACAGGUAAUGGUUCUAAACUCCCGUAUGGUUUCUGAUGUUGUGCCUUGACUCUUGCACAAGUCACACACUCGGCCACAUACUUCGCAAUGUCGAGCUUCAUCGUCGGCCACCAAUAAUAGGGUUUCAGGUCCCUAUACAUCUUUGUGCUACCGGGAUGAAUCGAGUACAUGGUUUUGUGAGCUUCUUCCAUCAGAAGAUCUCUGACUCCUCCUGUCUUAGUUAUACAAAUCCGAUCUUGGAACACCUUCAGUCUGUGCCUGUUUACACCGAACACCAACGUUUUGCCCAAACGUUCCUCCUUUCGGUCAUUCUUGUCAGAAGCUUCGCUUUGAGCUUUCUUGAUAAUUUCCAAAAUAGUCGAGACAACUUCAAUUCUCAAUGCUCUUGGCCUUCUCCUUUCAAGAUUGACUUUCCGACUGAGAGCAUCAGCAACAACAUUUGCUUUACCGGGGUGGUAAAGUAUCUCACAAUCGUAGUCUUUAAGUAAUUCCAGCCAGCGUCGUUGCCUCAUAUUCAAUUCUUUCUGACUAAAGAGAUAUUGGAGACUCUUAUGAUCAGUGAAAAGUUUGCACUUUGUGCCAUAGAGGUAAUGCCUCCAUAUUUUCAGUGCGAAAACUACCGCUGCCAACUCCAAAUCAUGAGUCGGGUNACCGGGGUGGUAAAGUAUCUCACUGUCGUAGUCUUUAAGUAACUCUAGCCAGCAUCGUUGUCUCAUAUUCAAUUCCUUUUUGACUAAAGAGAUAUUGGAGACUCUUAUGAUCAAUGAAAAGUUUGCACUUCGUGCCAUAGAGGUAAUGCCACCAUAUUUGCAGAGCAAAAGCUACCGCUACCAACUCCAAAUCAUGAGUCGGGUAGUUCUUUUCAUGCNAAUGUUGUGCCUUGACUCUUGCAUAAGUCACACACUCGGCCACAUACUUCGCAAUGUCGAGCUUCAUCGUCGGCCACCAAUAAUAGGGUUUCAGGUCCCUAUACAUCUUUGUGCUACCGGGAUGAAUCGAGUACAUGGUUUUGUGAGCUUCUUCCAUCAGAAGAUCUCUGACUCCUCCUGUCUUAGGUAUCCAAAUCCGAUCUUGGAACACCUUCAGUCCGUGACUGUUUACACCGAACACCAACGUUUUGCCCAAACGUUCCUCCUUUCGGUCAUUUUUCUC